rnacentral:lncRNA from 1 species
GCCCAACAGCAGCUCGGAGUCUUCGGCCAAGCACUCCCGGCACACGUCGGAGCGCAGGAAGAGCCCCUCGCCCAGCCCGGGCCAGCGCAGCAGCUCCUGGAGCUCCAGUGGCUCUCUCUCCAAAUCCCGCUCCCGCUCCCGGGAGAAGAGAGCAGGACGCAGCCGCUCCCGAUCACCCUCGCCGAAAAAACCCGCCAGCAGAGAGAAGGACAACGAGCCCCGAACACGUCACGGUGAUCCCGAUCCCACCCGCGCCCGGCGCCGCUCCAGGAGCUACUCCCCAAUCAGGAAGAGGAGACGUGACUCCCCCAGCUUCAUGGAGCCCAGGAGGAUCACGAGUGCUCGCAAGCGUCCCAUCCCCUACUACCGGCCCAGCCCCUCGUCCUCCAGCUCGCUGAGCACCUACUCGUACAGCCGGAGCCGCAGCCGCAGCUACGACAGCUACAGCUCCAGCCGCAGCCGCAG